rnacentral:rRNA from 1 species
UGGGGGAUAUUGCACAAUGGGCGAAAGCCUGAUGCAGCGACGCCGCGUGGGGGAUGAAGGCUUUCGGGUUGUAAACCUCUUUCGCUAUCGAACAAGGCCCGCUUAGGGUGGGUUGAGGGUAGGUGGAGAAGAAGCGCCGGCUAACUACGUGCCAGCAGCCGCGGUAAUACGCAGGGCGCGAGCGUUGUCCGGAAUUAUGGGGCGUAAAGGGCUUGUAGGCGGCUUGUUGCGCCUGCUGUGAAAACGCGGGGCUUAACUUCGCGCGUGCAGUGGGUACGGGCAGGCUUGAGUGUGGUAGGGGUGACUGGAAUUCCAGGUGUAGCGGUGGAAUGCGCAGAUAUCUGGAGGAACACCGAUGGCGAAGGCAGGUCACUGGGCCAUUACUGACGCUGAGGAGCGAAAGCAUGGGUAGCGAACAGG